rnacentral:piRNA from 1 species
AGCUGCAAAGCAGCUGUAGAGAGUAG